CAGUAGCCGCGGGAAUACGAAGGUCCCGAGCGUUGUUCGGAAUCACUGGGCGUAAAGGGAGCGUAGGCGGCGUGGUAAGUCAGAUGUGAAAUCCCGGGGCUCAACCCCGGAACUGCAUCCGAUACUGCCAUGCUAGAGGAUUGGAGAGGUAGCUGGAAUUCUUGGUGUAGCAGUGAAAUGCGUGGAGAUCAAGAGGAACACUCGUGGCGAAAGCGAGCUACUGGACAAUAUCUGACGCUGAGGCUCGAAGGCCAGGGUAGCGAAAGGGAUUAGAUACCCCAGUAGUCCCUGUCUCUUAUAC
rnacentral:rRNA from 1 species